rfam:Populus trichocarpa scaffold_4_contig_142, whole genome shotgun sequence.
GGCGACAUGGCCGAGUGGUGAGGCAGGUCUACAAAUCCUUUUUCCCUAGUUCAAAUCCGGGUGUCACCU